UAGGGAAUCUUCCACAAUGGACGAAAGUCUGAUGGAGCAACGCCGCGUGAGUGAUGAAGGGUUUCGGCUCGUAAAACUCUGUUGUUGGAGAAGAACAGGUGAUAGAGUAACUGUUAUCAUCUUGACGGUAUCCAACCAGAAAGCCACGGCUAACUACGUGCCAGCAGCCGCGGUAAUACGUAGGUGGCAAGCGUUGUCCGGAUUUAUUGGGCGUAAAGCGAGCGCAGGCGGUUUUUUAGGUCUGAUGUGAAAGCCUUCGGCUUAACCGGAGAAGGGCAUCGGAAACCGGGAGACUUGAGUGCAGAAGAGGACAGUGGAACUCCAUGUGUAGCGGUGAAAUGCGUAGAUAUAUGGAAGAACACCAGUGGCGAAGGCGGCUGUCUGGUCUGUAACUGACGCUGAGGCUCGAAAGCAUGGGUAGCGAACAGGAUUAGAUACCCUGGUAGUCCAUGCCGUAAACGAUGAGUGCUAAGUGUUGGAGG
rnacentral:rRNA from 1 species